rnacentral:rRNA from 1 species
GACGUUUAGCUGCAGAAGAAGCACCGGCUAACUCCGUGCCAGCAGCCGCGGUAAUACGGAGGGUGCGAGCGUUAAUCGGAAUUACUGGGCGUAAAGCGCAUGCAGGUGGUUUGUUAAGUCAGAUGUGAAAGCCCGGGGCUCAACCUCGGAAUUGCAUUUGAAACUGGCAAACUAGAGUACUGUAGAGGGGGUAGAAUUUCAGGUGUAGCGGUGAAAUGCGUAGAGAUCUGAAGGAAUACCGGUGGCGAAGGCGGCCCCCUGGACAGAUACUGACACUCAGAUGCGAAAGCGUGGGGAGCAAACAGGAUUAGAUACCCUGUAG